rnacentral:rRNA from 1 species
CUGGGGCGUAAGUUCCAGUGGACCGUGUAGUGAUGAGAAUUCUGGCACUAGUAGAAGCAUAGAUGAGUGAGAAUCUCAUCCGCCGCAGGGGCUAGGUUUCCUCGGCAAUGUUCGUCAGCCGAGGGUUAGUCGGUCCUAAGCUGCACCGUAACUCGAGUGUAGCAACAGGGAAACAGGUUAAUAUUCCUGUACCUUAUGGUUUUUAGCGUAAGCCCUGACGCUUCCGGAUAUGCCCAGCGGGAUCGUCGUCCCGUUUAAGCGUAUAAUCCCUUGGAGUACCGUAAUGGUGAGAAUUGGGAGAAAGCGUGAUGGGGAAACUAGGUAAAUUUCUGGAGCCCAUGAAAAGGGAAUCAUAAGUCCGUACCGAGAACCGACACAGGUGCCCCUCGCUGAAGAGGUGAAGGCGUGUCGGAUUUAAAUGUAGUUAAGGGAACUCGGCAAAUUGGCCCCGUAACUUUGGGAUAAGGGGUGCCUGCCUGGAGAUCAGGCAGGUCGCAGUGACCGGGUCGCUCUAACUGUCUAAUAACAACAUAGGUGACUGCAACUCCGAAAGGACUAGUAUAGUCACUGAUUCCUGCCCAGUGCGAGUAUCUGAAUACCGGGUUCAACCGGACGAAGGACUCGUAAACGGCGGGGGUAACUAUGACCCUCUUAAGGUAGCGUAGUACCUUGUCGCUUAAUUGGCGACUUGCAUGAAUGGAUUAAUGAGAGCGAUACUGUCCCUAACACAUAUCCGUUGAACUUUUUGUCCUAGUGCAGAGACUAGGGACUCCUGAUGGGAAGUGAAGACCCCGUUGAGCUUUACUGCAGCCUGUCGCUGAAUUACGAUAAUUCUUGCGCAGUGUAGAUGGGAGACGUUAUAUCCGUUUCUUUCGGGGAACGGGGAGUCAACGAUGAGACACCAUCCUAGUUUUGUUGUAGUUCUCACUCUUACGAGGACAACGGUAGGUAGGCAGUUUGGGUGGGGCGCCACACCCUCGAAAAAAUAUCAAGGGUGCCCUAAGGUCAACUCAUGUGAGUCAGAAACUCACAGAAGAGUGUCAAGAGCAUAAGUUGGCCUGACGCGAUCACGCAUAGCAAGUGAUCGCGAGAGGAAACUCGGGUCUAACGAACCAAUAUGCCCUUUUGGUGAGGGCUAUUGACUACAGAAAAGCUACCACGGGGAUAACAGAGUCGUCGCCGGCAAGAGCACAUAUCGACCCGGCGGCUUGCUACCUCGAUGUCGGUUCUUUCCAUCCUGGCUGUGCAGCAGCAGCCAAGGGUGAGGUUGUUCGCCUAUUAAAGGGGAUCGUGAGCUGGGUUUAGACCGUCGUGAGACAGGUCGGUUACUAUCUAUCAGGAGUGUUAGGAGUCUGAGGGUAAGAAUGAAAUAGUACGAGAGGAACUUUCAUUCGGCGCCACUGGUCGAUCGGUUGUCUGACAAGGCAGUGCCGAGCAGCUACGCGCCAAGGGAUAAAAGCUGAAAGCAUCUAAGCUUGAAACCCGGCCUAAAAAGAGACUCCGUUGAGGACACGGGUAAAAGACCCGUUUGAUAGGCUUCGGAUGUACGCACGAAGGCAACGACGUGUUCAGUCCGGAAGUACUAACGUCCAAACACUAGUGCU